GAUGAACGCUGGCGGCGUGCCUAAUACAUGCAAGUCGAGCGAACGGAUUAAGAGCUUGCUCUUAUGAAGUUAGCGGCGGACGGGUGAGUAACACGUGGGUAACCUGCCCAUAAGACUGGGAUAACUCCGGGAAACCGGGGCUAAUACCGGAUAACAUUUUGAACCGCAUGGUUCGAAAUUGAAAGGCGGCUUCGGCUGUCACUUAUGGAUGGACCCGCGUCGCAUUAGCUAGUUGGUGAGGUAACGGCUCACCAAGGCAACGAUGCGUAGACGAACUGGGAGGGUGAUCGGCCAAACUGGGACUGAGACACGGCCCAGACUCCUACGGGAGGCAGCAGUAGGGAAUCGUCCGCAAUGGACGAAAGUCUGACGGGGCAACGCCGCGUGAGUGAUGAAGGCUUUCGGGUCGUAAAACUCUGUUGUUAGGGAAGAACAAGUGCUAGUUGAAUAAGCUGACACCUUGACGGUACCUAACCAGAAAGCCACGGCUAACUACGUGCCAGCAGCCGCCGUAA
rnacentral:rRNA from 1 species